UUUCUGGAAACCGAACUCUCUCUCUCUUGCGCGCGUCCGAGCCCAGAAAAAAAAACAGAGCAAAGCUCUCCGGCCGAGUUCUCCCUCCUCCGGCCACCAAUCGACACCAGACCACCUCCCUUGCCUUCGCCUCGACGCCGCCUACCUGCUAGACGUGAUCACUUCCACCGGAACGGCCUCAAAUCCGGCAGUCGGAGCCGCAAACUUUGAAACAAAAAUCGGUCAACGCCGGUUUUCUCCUAGCUCCGGCCACCAAAACUCACGAUCCUUAGCUCCCUGAACUCGCCUCAACCUUCUGAUCAUCAUUCUAGAAGGAUCGCACCUGGAGUGAUCGGAUUCACGUUCGUCGGAGCUCGCCGGAUUCUGGAAAUUUUCCACCACCACCGAAGCUUUUGAUAGAAGGAAUCGAAGCCUGAAAUUGAAGUUUUGACGUCGAAAUCAAGCCUUGCCGGAUUUUGCAAAAUUCUGGAAUUUUUCCGACCACCGAAGCUUUCGAUCGGUAUAUCUCGAGCUACAGACCAUAUUUUUCUGUGAUUCUUGAACCAGUGAGUUCUUCUUGAGUUUCUUAACAACUCUUCAGAAGGAAUCGAAGCCUUAAAUUGACGUUUUUACGUCGAAUUGGAGCUCGCCGUUUUCUGCAGUUUCUCGCCGGUUUCUGGAAAAUUCUGGCCACCUUCAUACUGUUCAAGGUGAUCGACGGUUUGAUUUGGCGGACGAUUCGUGAAAUUGUAUUUUGAGCUGUUAAGAAGACGCAGCGGGAAUUUAGAGCGGGUAAUCCUACAGGUCAGGAGAACCAGGACGGUGAUCGGGCUGCUUAGAGUAGUGUUAUGUGAAUUACAGCAUUAUAUUGUGAGGUUUGUUAUGCUCAUUUAGAGCUUUACGAUUUUACUUUGUAAGAGUGAAUUGUAAUAAUUAACUCGAGGUUUUCGAGUUUUGUGUUGAGUGGCGAGUGGUGUGUUUGUUUCUGAGAAAAAAAAAAUUCAGAACGUUAUUUGUAUUAAUUGUUUAUUCAUGUUUCGGAUUUGAAUUUAUUAUUCAAAAUUCGGGGCGUGACAACAUUAAUUUCUCU